CCUACGGGUGGCAGCCGUGGGGAAUAUUGGGCAAUGGGCGCAAGCCUGACCCAGCAAUGCCGCGUGCAGGCAGAAGUCUUUCGGGUUGUAAACUUCUUUGACAGGGGCAGAGCAGAAGACGGUACCCUGAAAACAAGCCACGGCUAACUACGUGCCCGCCACCGCGGUAAUACGUAGGUGGCAAGCGUUGUCCGGAUUUACUGGGGGAAAAGGGCGUGUAGCCGGAAAGGCACGUCAGAUGUGAAAUACGGAGGCUCAACCUCCGAAUUGCAUUUGAAACUGUUGUUCUUGAGUACUGGAGAGGCAGACGGAAUUCCUUGGGUAGCGGUGAAAUGCGUAGAUAUAAGGAGGAACACCAGUGGCGAAGGCGGUCUGCUGGACAGCAACUGACGGUGAGGCGCGAAAGCGUGGGGAGCAAACAGGAUUAGAUACCCCAGUAGU
rnacentral:rRNA from 1 species